GUUGUUUUAAUUUUAAAUAUUAUAAUCAACUAACAAAUUAAAAAGAUAAAAAAUAAAAAUAAAAUAAAUAAACAAUGGCUAGAACAAAUAAAAUUGAGGAAAUGACAAAAUGUGAAAAAAGAAACCUAAUAGGGUUAAAGUACAAAUCCACCCAUGAAGUGGACACCCCUAGAGCCUAUCACUCCCCAUACUCGACGUUGGCCCAAAUAACUCUCCAAAGCCCA
rnacentral:lncRNA from 1 species